GAGGACAGGGUCAAAAGGUCUUUCACCCACAUGAGCUUGCUCACAGGUGGGUGAAAGACCUUAGGAUCCGCCACGAUGCGAAUAUUGGGUAGGGUGCUAUGUGCCAGUGGCACAUGUUUAGCACGGACCGAAGCGGAGCGGAGACGUGGGAGUGCGUAGCACGGAGCAAUCCGUAGGCAUC
rnacentral:sRNA from 1 species